rnacentral:tRNA from 1 species
AGGGGUGUGACUUGGUGGUAGAGCAUCUGCUUGGCAUGUGAAAGGUCCCAGGUUCAAUCCCCAGCAUCUCCA